GACUCCUCCUGAUUAUAGCUUGGGUUUUGUACCACCCAUGCUUGGGCCCCAUCUGGUGUGUCUUGAGGGACCAGAACAGCAGGGUGGGAAUUCUCAAGCUCCUUCAACAUUGGGCUCUAAUCAACCUGUGGCUCAACCCAUAGGCCUUGGGCAGAGUUCUGUCAGCGUUCCUCCACAUUUGUUCCCUUUAGUACGCCAACCAUUUCCUCCUAAUUAUAUGCCGUAUAACCCUUACAUUCCCCACCUUUACAUGCCACAGAGUGCCCACCAGUUUUUGGGCCCGAGUGGAU
rnacentral:misc_RNA from 1 species